rnacentral:rRNA from 1 species
UACGUAGGGUGCAAGCGUUGUCCGGAAUUAUUGGGCGUAAAGAGCUCGUAGGCGGUUCGUCGCGUCGGCUGUGAAAUCCCGAGGCUCAACCUCGGGUCUGCAGUCGAUACGGGCGGACUGGAGUUCGGCAGGGGAGACUGGAAUUCCUGGUGUAGCGGUGAAAUGCGUAGAUAUCGUGAGGAAGACCUGUGGCGAAGGCGGGUUUCUGGACAGUACCUGACGCUGAGGCACGAAAGCCAGGGGAGCAAACGGG